UACGUAGGGGGCAAGCGUUGUCCGGAUUUAUUGGGCGUAAAGAGCGUGUAGGCGGUCAGGUAGGUCGGUUGUGAAAACUGGAGGCUCAACCUUCAGAGGUCGACCGAAACCCCCCGGCUAGAGUCCGGGAGAGGAGAGUGGAAUUCCUGGUGUAGCGGUGAAAUGCGCAGAUAUCAGGAAGAACACCCGUGGCGAAAGCGGCUCUCUGGAACGGUACUGACGCUGAGGAGCGAAAGCAUGGGGAGCGAACAGG
rnacentral:rRNA from 1 species